GCGCAGCCUGAUCUAGCCAUGCCGCGUGUGUGAUGAAGGUCUUAGGAUCGUAAAGCACUUUCGCCAGGGAUGAUAAUGACAGUACCUGGUAAAGAAACCCCGGCUAACUCCGUGCCAGCAGCCGCGGUAAUACGGAGGGGGUUAGCGUUGUUCGGAAUUACUGGGCGUAAAGCGUACGUAGGCGGAUUGGAAAGUUGGGGGUGAAAUCCCAGGGCUCAACCCUGGAACUGCCUCCAAAACUAUCAGUCUAGAGUUCGAGAGAGGUGAGUGGAAUUCCAAGUGUAGAGGUGAAAUUCGUAGAUAUUUGGAGGAACACCAGUGGCGAAGGCGGCUCACUGGCUCGAUACUGACGCUGAGGUACGAAAGUGUGGGGAGCAAACAGGAUUAGAUACCCUGGUAGUCCACACCGUAAACGAUGAAUGCCAGUCGUCGGGCAGUAUACUGUUCGGUGACACACCUAACGGAUUAAGCAUUCCGCCUGGGGAGUACGGUCGCAAGAUUAAAACUCAA
rnacentral:rRNA from 1 species